GGAGGAUAGCUCAGUGGUAGAGUGCUUGCUUUGCAAGCAUGAGGCCCUGGGUUCUAUUCCUCAGCACCA
rnacentral:tRNA from 1 species